rnacentral:misc_RNA from 1 species
AGACAGAUCAAAAGAUAUCAUCAUAUCUGGUGGUGAAAAUAUUAGUAGUGUUGAGGUCGAGAAUAUCCUAUAUCAACACCCAGCAAUACUAGAGGUCUCCGUUGUUGCGAGGCCUGAUGAGCAAUGGGGAGAGUCACCUUGUGCAUUCGUGACAUUAAAGCCUGCUGUAAAGGAAACAGAUCAGCAGCAGGCUGCAGAGGAUAUUAUUAAAUUUAGUCGAUCAAAGAUGCCUAGGUACUGGGUACCAAAGUCGGUGUUUUUCGGACCAUUGCCAAAGACAGCUACAGGGAAAAUACAGAAGCACUUGUUAAGGACAAAGGCAAAGGAGAUGGGACCGUUGAAGAAGAGUAGAUUGUAAAUGUAACACGAUCGACUGGUUGCCUGAUUUGUCUUUGUAAUUCUAAGACGUCUGCUGUCUAUGCAUCUCUGUGUAUCAUGAUCUUCCUUGUAGAUAAAUAAGGUUAUGUUUCAGAUUUUUCCUAGAUAAUCAUGGAAGGGUACCAUGUAAGUUUUUGUUAUCA